UACGUAGGGGGCAAGCGUUGUCCGGAUUCAUUGGGCGUAAAGGGUGCGUAGGUGGCGCGCUAAGUCAGGUGUGAAAUUUCGGAGCUUAACUCCGAAACUGCAUUUGAUACUGGCGUGCUUGAGGACUGGAGAGGAGACUGGAAUUCACGGUGUAGCAGUGAAAUGCGUAGAUAUCGUGAGGAAGACCAGUGGCGAAGGCGGGUCUCUGGACAGUUCCUGACACUGAGGCACGAAGGCCAGGG
rnacentral:rRNA from 1 species